GGCCCAGCUCCCGGUUCCUGAGGGCUUGCACCUGGAAGGCUCCUUGCGCCUGCGCCCCGAGGCCGUGCCAAGCAGCUAGAACAAGAGGCCCUGUGGUGUGCAGGGAGCUCUGCUGAUGGGAUGGAUGACUGCACAGCUCUGCUGGUUGCCCUGCAGCCCUGCUAAGCACUGUUACCUCAAACUCUCUGCAGACAUCCUGUGCUGGAACCAAAGAGUUCCCGCCUGAAGAAGAUGAGCACAGCUAUGAGCGGUCCCCUUCUCCCACAAGGGCAUCAUUGCUCCCCAAACCAGGAGGCCAGCCAGAAUCAUGCUUUCAUGGAAGGCCUGAGGACUACCUGCUAAAGCUUCGAAAACUAAAAACAGGAACCCCCUGCAAAGCGAUGAGAUGGUAGUGAGCACCGUUUGGUUCCCUUUCCACCAACUGUCUAUUGUGACACUACGGAGCUAACUAGCAGAGCUGCUGAAAUCACGGUUAAGGGAAAGGAACAUUAAGACACAUAAGCGAGGGAAGAGAUGUGUGUGAA